AGUGGAUGGAACUGGAACUCUUCCUUCCUUCUUCUCUCCACUAUCCUCUCCUGAUAUCCCUCUCUCCUUCUUUCUCUACUUCCCUUCUCUCCCACAGGCGGAGUUCACAGCUCUAUACGGGGACGGGGCCCUGGAGGAGGCACGGCGUCUGCGGGAGGGGAACUGGGCAUCAGUGAGGACAGUGCUGACGGGGGCUGUGGCACUGGGGGCCCUGGUAACUGUAGGGGCCUUUUUUGCUAGCAAGUGAGAAAGUCUAGGGUCAGGUGGGGCUAGGUGUGGCUAGGGGCCAGGAGAGCUGGAACAAUAGAGAAUGCCCUUGGAAGAAACUGGAUGGUCACGGAACAGAGGAAGGCAGAGGAAGGUAGUGUGUGUGGGAG
rnacentral:lncRNA from 1 species